GCCGGGCCUGGUGGCGAGCGCCUGUAAUCCCAGCUACUUGGGAGGCUGAGGCGGGAGAAUAGCUUGAACCCAGGAGGUGGAGGUUGCAGUGAGCCGAGAUUGCAGGGCCACUGCACUCCAACCUGGGUGACAGAGCAAGACUCCAUCUCAA
ensembl:misc_RNA Metazoa_SRP Metazoan signal recognition particle RNA